GCCAGUGCAAGGAGCUCUGCUCAGG
rnacentral:piRNA from 1 species